rnacentral:rRNA from 1 species
AAGGAUCAUUAUUGAAUUAACUUGGAUGCUGUAGCUGGUGCGCAAGCACAUGUGCUCGUAUUCAUUUUAUUUCUAAUCUCUUGUGCACCUUUUCUAGUCUUGAGUUCAAACGUGAAACUCUCACAUUUUUCAUUAAAUGUGGAUGUGGGGUUUGCCCUUUGGGCCUUCCCUUACUCACAAGUAGAGCUUGAGAUUAGGUUUUACAUACCCUUAUAAAAAGUCUUAGAAUGUCACUUUGUUGGCGCAAGCCGAUAAAACCUUAUACAACUUUCAGCAACGGAUCUCUUGGCUCUCCCAUCGAUGAAGAACGCAGCGAAAUGCGAUAAGUAAUGUGAAUUGCAGAAUUCAGUGAAUCAUCGAAUCUUUGAACGCACCUUGCACCCUUUGGUAUUCCGAAGGGUAUGCCUAUUUGAGUGUCAUUAAAUUCUCAACCUUAUAACUUUUUUUUUUGUUGUAAGGCUUGGAUGUGAGGGUAUAUUGCUGGCUUCCUUAAGUGCGAUGGUCAGCUCCCUUGAAAUGUAUUAGUGGAAUCCUUUGUGGAACACUUGAGUGUAAUAAUUAUUGUGCUCUUGUUUGUGAAACAAUUUUAAGUGAAUCUGCUUACAACCGUCCGCAAGGACAAUUUACUUGACAAUUUGACCUCAAAUCAGGUAGGACUACCCGCUGAACUUAA